CCGAGUUUACAACUCCCAAACCCAUGUGAACUUACCACUGUUGCCUCGGCGCAGUUUCCUGUCUGGUGGCGAGAGCUGCUGGGCGGGUUGCGCCGGUGGACUACCAAACUCUUGUAAUUUUGGCAUUCUGAAAUAAAAAACUUAAUAAGUUA
rnacentral:misc_RNA from 1 species